rnacentral:sRNA from 1 species
CCUCGGUGGCCUGCUGCGGGGAGAUGAAGUGGAUGUGGCUGUCGAUGCCGCCCGCGGUCACGAUGGCGCCCUCGCCCGCGAUGAUCUCGGUGGAGGGGCCCACCGGGAGAGUGACCCCGUCCAUGAUGUCGGGAUUACCGGCCUUGCCGAUCCCGGCUAUCCGGCCGUCGCGGACCCCGAUGUCGGCCUUGACGAUGCCCCAGUGGUCGAUGACCAGCGCGUUGGUGAUGACGAGAUCGAGGGCGCCCUCGGCACGCGUCAGGCCGCUCUGGGCCAUGCCGUCGCGGA